UACGUAGGGGGCAAGCGUUGUCCGGAUUUAUUGGGCGUAAAGAGCGUGUAGGCGGCCAGAUAGGUCUGUUGUGAAAACUCGAGGCUCAACCUCGAGACGCCGAUGGAAACCAUUUGGCUAGAGUCCGGAAGAGGAGAGUGGAAUUCCUGGUGUAGCGGUGAAAUGCGCAGAUAUCAGGAGGAACACCGGUGGCGAAGGCGGGUCUCUGGGCCGAAACUGACGCUGAGGAGCGAAAGCGUGGGGAGCAAACAGG
rnacentral:rRNA from 1 species